AGUUUUGCUCUCAUAUCAAAAGCGGCAAGUUCAACUGAUCAGGGAAAGGCACAAGGAUUUAUUUUAGCCGUGCAGUCUAUUGCAAUUUUGUUGUCGCCACUAGCGAUGACACCACUGACCAAUUUAUUUCUGUGAAAAAACGCACCAUUUGACUGCAAGGGUUUCAGCUUCGUAUGUGCAUCAUUUGCU